rnacentral:rRNA from 1 species
UACGGGGGGAGCAAGCGUUGUUCGGAUUUACUGGGCGUAAAGGGCUCGUAGGUGGCCAACUAAGUCAGACGUGAAAUCCCUCGGCUUAACCGGGGAACUGCGUCUGAUACUGGAUGGCUUGAGUUUGGGAGAGGGACGCGGAAUUCCAGGUGUAGCGGUGAAAUGCGUAGAUAUCUGGAGGAACACCGGUGGCGAAGGCGGCGUCCUGGACCAACACUGACACUGAUGAGCGAAAGCCAGGGGAGCAAACGGG